AUACGAUGAAGAGUUUGAUCCUGGCUCAGGAUGAACGCUAGCGGCAGGCUUAACACAUGCAAGUCGAGGGGUAUAGUUCUUUGGAAUUAGAGACCGGCGCACGGGUGCGUAACGCGUAUGCAAUCUACCUUUUACAGAGGGAUAGCCCAGAGAAAUUUGGAUUAAUACCUCAUAGUA
rnacentral:rRNA from 1 species